rnacentral:rRNA from 1 species
AGUUUAGCUAAUGUUGCCCGUACCGUAAACCGACACAGGUGGGUGGGAUGAGUAUUCUAAGGCGCGUGGAAGAACUCUCUUUAAGGAACUCUGCAAAAUAGCACCGUAUCUUCGGUAUAAGGUGUGGUUCGCUUCGUAUUAGGAUUUACUCCGAAAGCGAAGAAACUUACAACAAAGAGUCCCUCCCGACUGUUUACCAAAAACACAGCACUCUGCUAACUCGUAAGAGGAUGUAUAGGGUGUGACGCCUGCCCGGUGCUCGAAGGUUAAUUGAUGGGGUUAGCAUUAGCGAAGCUCUUGAUCGAAGCCCGAGUAAACGGCGGCCGUAACUAUAACGGUCCUAAGGUAGCGAAAUUCCUUGUCGGUUAAAUACCGACCUGCAUGAAUGGCGUAACGAGAUGGGAGCUGUCUCAAAGAGGGAUCCAGUGAAAUUGUAGUGGAGGUGAAAAUUCCUCCUACCCGCGGCAAGACGGAAAGACCCCGUGGACCUUUACUACAGCUUGACACUGCUACUUGGAUAAGAAUGUGCAGGAUAGGUGGGAGGCUUUGAGUAUAUGACGCCAGUUGUAUAUGAGCCAUUGUUGAGAUACCACUCUUUCUUAUUUGGGUAGCUAACCAGCUUGAGUUAUCCUCAAGUGGGACAAUGUCUGGUGGGUAGUUUGACUGGGGCGGUCGCCUCCCAAAUAAUAACGGAGGCUUACAAAGGUUGGCUCAGAACGGUUGGAAAUCGUUCGUAGAGUAUAAAGGUAUAAGCCAGCUUAACUGCAAGACAUACAAGUCAAGCAGAGACGAAAGUCGGUCUUAGUGAUCCGGUGGUUCUGUGUGGAAGGGCCAUCGCUCAAAGGAUAAAAGGUACCCCGGGGAUAACAGGCUGAUCUCCCCCAAGAGCUCACAUCGACGGGGAGGUUUGGCACCUCGAUGUCGGCUCAUCGCAUCCUGGGGCUGGAGCAGGUCCCAAGGGUAUGGCUGUUCGCCAUUUAAAGCGGUACGCGAGCUGGGUUCAGAACGUCGUGAGACAGUUCGGUCCCUAUCUGCCGUGGGCGUAAGAAGAUUGAAGAGAUUUGACCCUAGUACGAGAGGACCGGGUUGAACAAACCACUGGUGUAGCUGUUGUUCUGCCAAGAGCAUCGCAGCGUAGCUAAGUUUGGAAAGGAUAAACGCUGAAAGCAUCUAAGCGUGAAGCCAACUCUAAGAUGAAUCUUCUCUAAGCUCUCUAGAAGACUACUAGUUUGAUAGGCUGGGUGUGUAAUGGAUGAAAGUCCUUUAGCUGACCAGUACUAAUAGAGCGUUUGGCUUAUCUUUAAUAAAGCAU